UCCAACAUCAGCAGUAUCUGAGCCCAAAGGAUCCUUAAAACAUACAGUGGAUCCAUCUCCCCUCAGCCUGCUCACUGUGCUGAGUACAGAGCACAGAGCAGCUUCUUCCCUCAGGCUGUAAUACUGAAGUUGUCCUCCGCGCUGCACCAUAAAUAACAUAAACUCCACAUACUCUCUGGGACGACAUGCGUUAGGUAUAUAUGCAUGUUGGAGACAAAGCAGUACAUGUAUCUGCCCUUUACCAUCAGGGUACAGAUGUCAUUGUUCAGUGUGUACGAUGAAUAUGACUGUCUUACUGUGGCAGGAGUAUUCGUCAGCGACUGAGAGUAUGAGGUACUGAACUGUGAUGUCUUUGUACCUUUUCACCAUGAGUGCAUGUGUACAGCUGUAUAUGUUUGUGUAUAUGUGUGACUUUGCACAACCCUGUCUUGUAAAACGACAAACGAAUUUACCUUGAAAUGUCAGUUAAAUUACCGUGACACUCCGCAGACUGCCACAACAAUCCUUCUGAUCUCUGCACCAGUCUGCCAACAGCGGUUGCUGUUUUUUUCUUUCUUUUUUCUUUUUUUUUCCCUGCCCGUUACCUAAAUCUUCAUUAGUUUACUUUAGUUUAGUCAUGUAUAGACCUGCGCCCAUGAGUCGAGUCCAGAACAUGGCAGGAAAGAAAAGGAGCUACCUGCCCUCCAUCACAGUGGCUAACCAGGUGGAUGAACCAGCAGCUUAGAUGCCUUCCAGACUGUUCAAGCAGACUGGAAUUUCAGGGAGAGACCUGAUAAUCACAUUCACAACAAACUGUGUAAUCCUGUCACAUCAUGGCAAAAGAAUGUGUGUUGUCUGGACACUUUCCUGCUCGCUGUGAGCCUUAUGUCCAUAUUACUGUCGUUCCCACCGUCCUGGUUGUUUACAGUUUUCCCUUGGCCAGCAACUCACUUGCAAUUGAUACGCACUCAUAGUCACUGUGAGACUACAGAUGCAGCAUCCGAACGCAUUGAUUUCCAUAUCUGGCGACUCUAACCCUUGUCACUGGAAACGGGAUGUACUAUGUAAUUCACAAGGAGAAUACUGAUGAUGUCCCAGGUUCUUCAAUAGUGUACGCCAACAUCCGUGCAGAUAACGUUGUUCUAAAAGAGACAGUCGCCAUUUUCUGACCACAAACCCUGAGUCACCUGAGCUGUCAAGGUCCUCACAUGAGAACAAUAGUGCGUUCAGAGAUGGGGGACAGCGAGGGGUUAAAGAAAAAAGCUUGAGGUGAGGAAUAAGCAGGACGAGGACAGCUGCAAGAGGAGAUGCUAGCAGAACAAUGAAGUUGUGUGGAGUGGGGUGAGAAGCAUCACAGUAACUCCACUCUGAGCGACUAAUAAAAUGCUCCUGCUCAAACCGAAAGACAGAGUGUGAGAUGUAUCUGGAUGCCAGACUGAAGGGACGCAGUGUGUGGGCCCCCCCUCAUGUUCCUUAAUGGACCGGGGCCUGUGUCUCUGCCUCAUGGUGACCAUAUCUGGUUCAAAUGUUGUCAGUCUUGCUCACAAAUUGAAAUAAUAAAAGCAGAAUGAACUCUGG